CAGCCUCUGCCUCCCGGGUUCAAGCGAUUCUCCUGCUUCGGCCUCCUCUGAGUAGCUGGGAUUACAGGCAUGUGGCAUCACACCCAGCUAAUUUUUGUAUUUUUAGUAGAGAUGGGGUUUCACCAUGUUGGCCACGCUGGUCUUGAGCUCCUGACCUCGUGAUCUGCCCGCCUCAGCCUCCCACAGUGCUGGGAUUCCAGGCGUGAGCUGCUGCACCUGCCCAUGAUAACUUUCUCACCACCACCAACUUCAGUUUCCCUCACUGCUGUAAUAAUCAGCUCCCUGAGCUGGGCCUUGAGGUCCGAGUUCAUCUCCAGCUCCAGAAGAAUCUAAGAAGGCAAGAACAGCAGGGUCAACCCUCAGUGCAUGUAUGAGCACCCCCGGCCUCAUUUUUGUGUUUUCUAUAAAGAUGGGGUCUCGCUGUGUUGCCCAUGCUGGUCCUGAACUCCUUACCUCAAGUGAUCCUCCUGCCUCGGCCUCCUAAAGUGCUGGGAUUACAGCCAUCAGCCGCCGUGUCCGGCUUUAAAAAGCAAUCCUAAAAAUCGUAAACAAAAUGACAUAGAGGAACCUUAUUGCGCAUCGAGCCAUGCAAGAAAGGAGCCGUUUAUUUCCAGCAAGUUUAAAACAUCAAUUUGAUCUCCAGCCAUGGUCGAUGAGAUGUUAGAAAACCAACUCUCUUGCUGACAACAACGAGAAAAUCUUGAUACCAUUUAGCAAAAAGAAGUCUGUGGGGGAGGCGUUGGAGAGUGAUGGAGCUGCCAGGGCCUGAGGCACCCAGCUUCCGGAGCCUCUGGCAGCCCGGAGAAGUGACUCUGUCUUAAGAGGCACCACCCUCCCCGGUGCAUUUGCUGAUGGUUUCUGAGCAGAGCAGUCUCCUGGGGCUGGAGGGGCACAAGCUGGAAUGGGCGCCCCACCAUGGGGACCCCCAGACGCCAGACCUUCAACUGAGAUAGGAAUCUGGUGCUGGAUAUAGGCGUCUAUGGCACCCCAGCUGCAUGUCAACAGCAGCAGCAAGCCCUCCUUGAAGGGUGAAACGGCAUUCACAGUCUCCAGUUUUCUCUACAAUUUUCAUAAAUGUUGUCCGUGAUUCAACCAGACUUUCCAGCAGAGGCCGAGACCAGGUGACGGCAGACGAGAGGACGCCCCUCUGGCUGGAGCCUCCCCGCACAGACUCAGGUCCCUCUGCUACGCCAGGGUCUCGACUGGGCCGUAUCUGUGGGUUUCCCACGUUAACUUGUCUCAGGUUUCUCUUUCUUCUUUUGAGACAAGGUCUCACUCUAUUGUCCAGGCUGGAGCGCAGUGGCAUGGUCACAGCUCACUGCAGCCUCAGCCUCCCCAGUAGCCGGGACACACACCCAGCUAAUUUUUGUAUUGUUUGUAGAGGUGGGGUCUCACCAUUGCUCAGCCCUGUUCUUGAACCCCUGGGCUCAAGUGAUCGUCCUGCCUCAGCCUCCCAAAGUGCUGGGAUUACAGGUGUGAGCGGUGUUCCAUAGAUUUUUUUAAAAUCCUUCACGUAAAGUUUUUUGUUACAUUUCAGAAGGAAACAGAAAAGCAUAAACUCAAUGUGGGCAUCCCCCUCCCGGCCCACAGGGCCUCUUUCUCCGCAGUUCCCUGGGAACCAUCUCCUUCACACUCACCGUUUCACAGGAGCGUUCACAGAAUCAGGAAGGUUUCUGUGGCUCACCUGCCCAUGGCUGGGGCUCAGUCUCUGGGGGACGCAUCUCAUGUAGAGUGAAAGGCGGCACCUUUGCCAUGGGGACGGGACUUAUUCGCAGACAUGGACUUUGAUUUGCUUUAUCUCACAAUGUGAAGAAACUGACAAGUAUUGUUUUUGAAUUGAAGGAAGCAUCCGUUCCUUUCAUAAGAGGGGAUGGAAACAGCCUGGCCCUCGGGAGGGAGCGUCCGCCCGGCGGGUCAGCCACUCACAGGGGCUGUCCUCUCGCCAGGGCUGCUGGUCAACCUCUCCCUCAUCCCAGUCAUGGGCGGGCUGGCGCUGUGCACGGCCACUGAGAUCAGCUUCAACGUCCUGGGGUUCUCGGCCGCACUGUCCACCAACAUCAUGGACUGUUUGCAAAAUGUUUUUUCAAAAAAAGCUGCUCAGCGGGGACAAAUACAGGUUCUCGUAAGUAUUAUUCGUCAGUGAAAUCUCCAAGUCAUAAGACGAAGAGGACUUCCUGCCCACUGUAAGAGUCAGAACACCCCACAGGCCUGACUCCCUUCCUGUCUGGCCUGGGUGGCCUUUACAAGUACCCUGUCUAAGCUCGGGAGAGACCCGCCUGUUUCUCAGCUACUCCCUUGAGCCCCUCAGCCAGCCUGGUGUGCGUUUGCGUUUUCAUUUCUGGGAAGCUGCAGCGGCCCCAGUCCUGCCUAGAGAGAAUGAACGUCUUCUGGGCUGGGGUGCCUGGGUGUUCUUGCUGUGAGGGAGCUGCGUGUGAACUCGGCCUGUCCCGACACGGGGGGCCCAGCGUGUUCUGUCACCCACAGGGCCCCGGAGCUGCAGUUCUAUACCAGCGCCGCUGCGGUGGCCAUGCUCGUCCCGGCCCGG
rnacentral:lncRNA from 1 species